GCAGGGAAGAGGGGGUGGCCCUGUCUCAUCCCAAAGGAGCUGGGAUCUAGGAGCAGGGAGCAAACUCCCCAGCAGGGAGUGGGGUAGGUGGGGACAGGACAAAGAGUGCUGGGAGAGAGGAGCAGUGCUGGGGCCUGCGGAGGCCUGGGCAGGGGGCUAGCUGGGCCUCUGAGGACAAAAGCAGCAGUGAUGGCAGAGGCUCUUCUCUUGCUGCUUCCUGGAUGCCAUGGAUUGAGUAGCUUUCCUCCGCCAUGCCUUUUCUGCUUUGGAGCCAACUGACCACAGACUGAACCCUCUGAAACUACCGCAUGGCAUUCAAAAUCAUCUAAAAUUAAUUUCUUCAUCUUGAAAGCGAGAGAAUAAAGGCCUGAAGUUUGAUGCCAACGUGCUAACCCUGAAGUUGAAGGACCUGCAUUUAAGUUCAAG
ensembl:lncRNA